rnacentral:rRNA from 1 species
AUGGCCGGGAUGGGUGGGCAACAGAGGCAGAUGAUGGAGGAUGCGGCGGAGGACAAGUUCCCGGAGAGGUUGCGUGUGCUCGCGGUGGACGACGACCGCGUCUGCCUCAAGGUACUAGAGGCCCUCUUGCGCCGCUGCAAAUACAGCCCAACGACAGUGAUGGAUGCCAAGACGGCGCUGAAGAUGCUCAGAUCGGGGAAGGAGGAAUUCGACAUGGUCAUCACCGACGUGCGCAUGCUGGACAUGGACGGCUUCAAGCUCCUCGAGCUCAUUGGCCUCGAGAUGGAUCUGCCCGUCAUCAUGCUAUCAGUGGAUUGCGACAAGAAGGCUGUGAUGAAGGGGAUAAACCAUGGGGCGUGUGACUAUUUGAUGAAGCCAGUGCAAACCAACGAGCUCAAAAACAUAUGGCAGCAUGUUGAGAGUAGGAGAAGAUCCCAAUCAAUAAGCCACAUGAGUAGGGAUAAUGAUGACGACCAGAGAGUACAUACUGGGACUCUUGCCAAGAGUAAGGACUCAAAGAGUAAGAGCAAUGAUGAAGAUGAUUCUAAUGAGAACAAAGAGAGCACUCAUGCAUCCACUACCCAGAAGAAGAUGAGGGUGGCAUGGACAACUGAGCUUCAUAACAAGUUUCUAGAAGCUAUCUACCAGAUCGGCCUUGAAAAGGCUGCUCCAAACAAGAUAUUGGAGCUGAUGAAUGUGGAUUACCUCACUAGACAUAAUAUUGCGAGUCAUCUACAGAAGUAUAGAUUGUACUUGAAUAGAGUCAAAUCAAAUCCACUCGGUGAUGCAAGGGAAAGACAAAACUCAUCCAUGGGGAAUCAGAGGAAUUUUAUGCAUAACCAUGAGCAUGGAAGAUGGCAUGUGUCCUCAUGUGACAACCCCUCCUGGAGUCCAAAUUAUUUCGGUGCAACUAGUCAAUUAGGCCAGCCGACGGACAACCAGAGCAACUUGUGCAUGGGGUCGUUAAUCCAUGGUGGAAGAAUGUCGAGGUAUUUGGUUCCAAACACACCGGAUGCGAGAAGAUUUGCCGAUCCCGAAGACCCUCCCAUUAGCCUAUACAAUGGCAUACUCGAUGACAUAAUGUUAGAUGAAUUUUCCUCGUAUAGCUCUGGUACUUCCUAUGUUGACUCCAUGCGUGGCAAGUUGAUGGAGACAAGUAAAGGAAAAACCCCAUCAAAUCUUCGAAGUCACUUAACAAACACAUCAGGUGGUGGCGGGAGCUCGGCACCCACAAAUGAGUACCAGGUAAACUUGACCGGUAUUCUUCAUAGGGGUGGAACAUCUCAUGUCCCGCCACGUGUGAAUAUACCAACGAUCAACCAAUUGACAAGCUAUGAAACACCAUCUAGCGGAAUGUUGAUGCAAAAUCAAUUGCCAGCAUUCAUUGGCAACACCAUAUCAGUGGGAGGUUUCAAUGAACAAAUAGUUCCAUUCAACAUACCUACUAACCCAAGCUCUAUAGGGAUAUUGAAUGCACACAACACUACUCCAGUGGCGCCAUCUCAGAUGGUUGGUAGCAUCACUACAUUACGGUCAGGUUUCAAUGAGAAAAUAUCGCCAUUCAACAUAGCAAACAAUACAAGCUCGGUAGGGACGAUGUUGAAUGGAAAUUCUGCACUUGGUGUUGGUAGCACUUCAAAAUCCGAGAUUAAUAUGGUUAAUUGUGGAAGAACUAUUUCCACACUUUCCAACCUUCAGACAGAUGGUUUCGUCGAAUUAACUCCAAUGCCUGAUGGCGGGGAUGUAGUUGGCAUUCUUCAUGUGCAAGAAAGUAUGGUUAAUCAGCAAGAGCCUAAUGAUUUACUUAAUGACAUUAAUGACUUGUCAUCGGAUGAUAUUGCCAACCUUCUAAAUGACGAUUCCAUUGGAGAGGAUGCUAUCAUGGAUGGAUAG